AAUUCCAGGAAGCACAAGGUUAUGAUUGGAUUGGCUAGGAUUCCAAGCAAAAUGGAGCUUAGUGAUUUAAGGGAAAGGCAGAAUCGACGGAUUCCGUCGCCCAUGAUCCCGGCAGUAAGUUCUGGUGAAGCAUCGGGCGUCAGUAAUGGUGUAAGUAGUGGGAAGAGUCAUUGGAGGCUGCUCCGACUAUUCAGAUUUAGAUCCCAUGAUGUUGCCAGCAUGUUGCCCAAGACUUCUUGUAUUUCGCUAGCACGGCCUUGUAUUGACUAGAUUUUGCUCCCAUUUUUGUACCAUAUUAUACCCUUUC
rnacentral:misc_RNA from 1 species